CUACGGGAGGCAGCAGUGGGGAAUCUUAGACAAUGGGCGCAAGCCUGAUCUAGCCAUGCCGCGUGAGUGAUGAAGGCCUUAGGGUCGUAAAGCUCUUUCGCCAGGGAUGAUAAUGACAGUACCUGGUAAAGAAACCCCGGCUAACUCCGUGCCAGCAGCCGCGGUAAUACGGAGGGGGUAAGCGUUGUUCGGAAUUACUGGGCGUAAAGCGUACGUAGGCGGAUCAGAAAGUUAGGGGUGAAAUCCCGAGGCUCAACCUCGGAACUGCCUCUAAAACUCCUGGUCUUGAGUUCGAGAGAGGUGAGUGGAAUUCCAAGUGUAGAGGUGAAAUUCGUAGAUAUUUGGAGGAACACCAGUGGCGAAGGCGGCUCACUGGCUCGAUACUGACGCUGAGGUACGAAAGUGUGGGGAGCAAACAGGAUUAGAUACCCUGGUAGUCCACACCGUAAACGAUGAAUGCCAGUCGUCGGGUAGCGUGCUCUUCGGUGACACACCUAACGGAUUAAGCAU
rnacentral:rRNA from 1 species